rnacentral:rRNA from 1 species
UACAGAGGUCUCAAGCGUUGUUCGGAUUCAUUGGGCGUAAAGGGUGCGUAGGCGGCGCGGUAAGUCGGGUGUGAAAUCUUGGAGCUUAACUCCGAAACUGCAUUCGAUACUGCCGUGCUUGAGGACUGGAGAGGAGACUGGAAUUUACGGUGUAGCGGUGAAAUGCGUAGAUAUCGUAAGGAAGACCAGUGGCGAAGGCGGGUCUCUGGACAGUUCCUGACGCUGAGGCACGAAGGCCAGGGGAGCAAACAGG